rnacentral:lncRNA from 1 species
UCAUCUCACCGGAACCUUGCCCCGCGGCAGCCCUGGAAUACCACCGUCCGGAAACUUCCCGGCUACCUCCCGCAGCGCCGGCGCGAGGACCUGGGCGACGGGGCGGGGCGAGGUCCUGUAGGCAACCCCCGGCUGUGCUUGGUCGUAGCGGUAGCGAGAGGGAGCCGCGGGCGCGAGGACAUGGGUCAGGAGCUGGCCGAAGACGCCGGUGUGAGGACCUUGGCUUGGGGCCGCUCCCCCACGGCCCUGCCGACGCCGGCGUGAGUUCCUGGAGUCGAAGCCCCGGCUGGGCUUGGCGUAGUGGUCGACCAACGAAGCAAGGUACCUCGCCCCUGCUCUCAUCUAUUCCCUCCCUCCCUGCCUGCACGUUCAGCGUCGACCAACUGCUCCUUUCACCACCUUGAAAUAAAGAUCCAGUUAGUAGUUGAGUAGUGACCACACCUAAUGUAGCUAUUGCAGAACAUGGUUCGUAUUGUUCCCCUGAAACUCUGAAUCUUGUGUUUGGUGUUAUUUGUAAAACCAAGUACUAGUAGAACAUGAUUCGUAUUUGAUCAAGCUGACAGGUGGCAAUACCCCUCUGCUGCCAUGACUUUCACAGUUGUCAAGGCCUAUAAAAUUUUCAUUCGGGAGACUACAACCAUUCCUGCCAUUGCCUGGCUUUGGAAAGCCUGCACUCAACUGAAACAUAAAAUCUUUUUCCGGUUGUUGAUUAACAACAUGCUGAACACCACAGAGCUGGUGUGUCAUGUGUGAUCAGUAUGUCCUAGAAACCAGAGAUCGUCUAUUUCUUCACUGCAAUUUUGCACAAAUUUGCUGGAAAUAUGUUUGCCCCAAUUCGUCUCCUCUGUCAGAAGGGAUUCAGGGUCAGUUUAGUAACUUGAACACCAUGCUUCAUAUUUCAUUUGCCAUGGACAGAAUCAUUUUGAUUUUUUGGGCCAUAUGGAACACUCGCAGUGAGUUCAUUUUCAGAGAUAUCACUCCCAGUCUAUAUGCUUGCAGAAGCAGAUUCAAAGAUGGGCUUCAAUGGUUGGUCCACAGAGCCAAAAUAAAAUCAUAUGCUACACUCUCAGAUUGGGCUAAAUCUUUCAGAUAGCAAGCACUAGCAGGCCUCAGCUGAUUUUUGUACUUUCUUAUUGUAUUUGUACUUUGUAGGCCUAGCUUUUUCUUUUCUUGUACAUAACUAUAUACUUCUAAAAAAUCUACAAAAAUGCUCUGGGGAAGAAAUUCCUACAGGUUCGAGUCAGAAAACUAGUGAAAGUGAACUCUUUUUUUAUGUCAUAACCCCAUACGUUAUUUCCAAUAAUCUUCAUAGCCACAACCUCCACAAAAAUAAUUUGUAUCAUAGCCACAUGUCGAGUUCCACCGAACUAUUAAAUGUCUUUCACUUAUAGUGCCAGAUACCAAUUUUGAUGAAUGUCUUUUUGUAAGUAUCCAUACUUUUGUAGGCAUCUUUCCUCAAGGAUAACUCAUGUAUCCUAAUAAAUGUACUCCAUUCGCUUGAAUUUACAAGGCUUAUUUGAUUUGUCUUUACAUUAAAAUAGGUUGGCAAAAAAGGAGCAUUUCAAAGCUUGGCAUUAUCUCAGCAUAGUCACAACGUAGGGGGAGCACGUCGUUAGCAACUUUGAAGGCCACGUUGUUGCAAUCUUCCAAAUGUGCUAGCAGCAAAAAAAGGUGAGUGCAUAUUGUUAAUCUCCUUGAAACAAAACACUCUUCUUCUUCUUUCAAAUUGCUUUACUGACCAUGCUCUGUUUUUCAAGGAUGAGUAAAUUACAGGCAAGCAGGAACCAGCAGCUGCUUCUUCCAUCAAUUCUUCAAUCUUUGCUCCAUAUUUUUGCUCAGAACUAUCCAUCAGUUCCUAGUUUGCAUAGAGGCUGAACUUCUUGUUUCAAAUACUUGGAGACGCUUUUGAUCCAGUGGCAACUUGCAGGCAUAAAUAAUGUACGUUAUAAUGUCACUGAAGGGAGUUUCACAGUUCUUAUUGUAUGUCAUGGACGCUGUCAGAUUAUGGUCAAUCCAUUUCAUGCAGUUUACUUUCAUUUCUUGCGAACAUAUGUCAUGUACAAUAAAUUUUAGAGUCCAGACAGAAAUCUAGGAACCAAUGAUGUUUAUCAAGUGAAAGAAAUUGCAUUAUGGCAUGUUUACAGGGAUCAAAUCUCUGCGCUGAUGCUUGAAU